rnacentral:rRNA from 1 species
UACAGAGGCCCCGAGCGUUGUUCGGAUUCACUGGGCGUAAAGGGUGCGUAGGUGGUGAGGUAAGUCGGAUGUGAAAUCUCCGGGCUCAACCCGGAAAUGGCAUUGGAAACUACCUUGCUGGAGGAUUUGAGGGGGGAUUGGAAUACUUGGUGUAGCAGUGAAAUGCGUAGAUAUCAAGUGGAACACCAGUGGCGAAGGCGAAUCCCUGGAAAAUACCUGACACUGAGGCACGAAAGCUAGGGGAGCAAACAGG